rnacentral:rRNA from 1 species
AGUGAACGCUGGCGGUAGGCCUAACACAUGCAAGUCGAACGGCAGCACAGUAAGAGCUUGCUCUUACGGGUGGCGAGUGGCGGACGGGUGAGGAAUACAUCGGAAUCUACUUUUUCGUGGGGGAUAACGUAGGGAAACUUACGCUAAUACCGCAUACGACCUACGGGUGAAAGCAGGGGAUCUUCGGACCUUGCGCGUUUGAAUGAGCCGAUGUCGGAUUAGCUAGUUGGCGGGGUAAAGGCCCACCAAGGCGACGAUCCGUAGCUGGUCUGAGAGGAUGAUCAGCCACAUUGGAACUGAGACACGGUCCAGACUCCUACGGGAGGCAGCAGUGGGGAAUAUUGGACAAUGGGCGCAAGCCUGAUCCAGCCAUACCGCGUGGGUGAAGAAGGCCUUCGGGUUGUAAAGCCCUUUUGUUGGGAAAGAAAAGCAGCAGGUUAAUACCCCGCUGUUCUGACGGUACCCAAAGAAUAAGCACCGGCUAACUUCGUG